AGCGAACGUUAGCGGCGGGCCUAACACAUGCAAGUCGAGCGAGAAAGUGGCUUCGGCCACGAGUAAAGCGGCGGACGGGUGAGUAACACGUAGGUAAUCUUCCCUUGAGCGGGGGACAACGAGCCGAAAGGCUCGCUAAUACCGCAUACGUUUCCAGAGGCACCGGUCUCUGGACGGAAAGCUAGGCCGCAAGGUCCGGCCAUCGCGGAGGAGCCUGCGUCGCAUCAGCUAGUUGGUGGGGUAACGGCCUACCAAGGCGAAGACGCGUAGCUGGUCUGAGAGGAUGAUCAGCCACACUGGGACUGAGACACGGCCCAGACUCCUACGGGAGGCAGCAGUGGGGAAUAUUGGACAAUGGGCGCAAGCCUGAUCCAGCCACGCCGCGUGAGUGAUGAAGGCCUUCGGGUCGUAAAGCUCUGUGGGGAGGGACGAACCGCUGCACGUUCAUAGCGUGCAGCAUGACGGUACCUCCUUAGCAAGCACCGGCUAACUUCGUGCCAGCCGCCGCCGUAA
rnacentral:rRNA from 1 species